AGAGUUUGAUCCUGGCUCAGAAUGAACGUUGGCGGCGUGGAUUAGGCAUGCAAGUCGAGCGAGAACCCGCAAGGGGGACAGCGGCGAACGGGGUAGGACAACGUAGGUAACGUACCCUCGGGGCGAGGACAGCCACGGGAAACUGUGGGUAAUACUCGAUAAUGUUCCCAAUCGUGAUGGAAGGGGAACCAAUGGGUGUGAUUCCACCUGAGGAGCGGCUUACGCAGUAUCAGCUUGUUGGUGAGGUAACGGCUCACCAAGGCUAUGACGCUUAGGGGAUGUGAGAGCAUGAUCCCCACCACUGGCACUGAGACACGGGCCAGACACCUACGGGUGGCAGCAGUAGGGAAUAUUGGGCAAUGGGCGAAAGCCUGACCCAGCAACGCCGCGUGCACGAUGAAGGUCUUCGGAUCGUAAAGUGCUUUUCUGAGAGAUGAGAAAGGACAGUAUCUCAGGAAUAAGUCUCGGCUAACUACGUGCCAGCAGCCGCGGUAAAACGUAGGGUGCGAGCGUUGUUCGGAGUUAUUGGGCGUAAAGGGCGUGUAGGCGGCUUGAGAAGUCUGGUUUGAAAUGCACUGGCUCAACUGGUGCGCUGGGUCAGAAACUGGCAGGCUUGAGUUCAUGGGGAGGAGCUGGAAUUCCAGGUGUAGGGGUGAAAUCUGUAGAGAUCUGGAAGAACACCGGUAGCGAAGGCGGGCUCCUAUGGAUGGACUGACGCUGAGGCGCGAAAGCGUGGGGAGCAAACAGGAUUAGAUACCCUGGUAGUCCACA
rnacentral:rRNA from 1 species